rnacentral:lncRNA from 1 species
UGAUACCCCAACCGAUGCAGGAUCAUCUGGCAAUAAAUUCUCCAGUGGAAAUAAACUCGGACUCCUCUUUGCAGCUGAUAUCAGCAUUGAGGAGCACACGGUUUCCUGGGCCAGGCAAACCUCCCCACAGGAAUUUAACCCUUUCUCAGCCGAUGCUUGGAGAUUUGCGUCAGAUUGGGCAGGCUAAAUAGAUGCUUAGAGGUUUUGAAUAUAACCAGUGCCGGAGGUUAAGUCAAACAGCACUGACAUGUUGCAGUCACAGCUGGGUGGCGGCCAGUCAGGUGGGGAGACAGCCAAACCAGCCUCAACUACCAAAAUGCUGCUGCUUUAAACAGGAUCUCAGCUAGCUGCAGUCAGAGCUACCCGAUGCCUAACGUCAUGGAGCAACAUAAAUAGCAGGCAAAGGGGGCACAGAUUUCAAACACACGUGGCGAGGUAGCUUCUGAGCACUGCCUUUGCAGACACACGGAGGUCUCUCGCCGUCUGCCCAGGCUUGUCCUCGCUUUUGGAAAGUUCUGGCUCCAAGACCCCCUUUUAAAAAAAACCAAAACACCACCAUUUUAUUUUUCCCUAGGAAACUUCAGCAGCUGGAUUUAAAAGACAGGUUGCUGAAUUUUGCAGCUCCCAGCCUGGGGAGCCGCCCAGCCCGUGGGCUCUGUGUGAUCAGGUGAAGCCUUGGAAGUAACGUUGUCCGGAGCUGAGCGAACUCGGCGCUUGGAGCAGGCGGAGCGGAGCGCAGCAGAGAGCGGGAGGUGCCGGGCUUUCCCCGCAAACCUGCCCUUUGAUCCAGGCGCUGCGCUCCUCUUCAAGCGCCCAGCGCGAAACCUAGCUGAGCUGCAGGACCCGAGCGCCGGGCCCUUGGAACAGACCCCCCGCCCCGCCCCGUCCCAUCGCUCCAGUGUAGAAACUGGGAUCUAUUGUGCAGAUCAUUGUCAGGGAGUCCUUUCUCCAUCCGAUGAAAACCUGCUAAGAAAUGAUCCUGCUUCUCGUACCUGUUCAACUCCACCGGCUGAAAAGAACUGACCUGGGAAUGCCCAAGGUAUGAGAAGAGCCGC